rnacentral:sRNA from 1 species
AUUCUGAAACACCAGUUCUGCAAAUUACAGUACCACAGAAGAUCCAGACAAAUACCAAUGAUGGCGAUGUUUCAGAAACGCAUGCCACUUAUUCCAUCAAAAUUGAGGGGAAACCAUACACUUUCCUGCUUGAAAAACAGUCAUUUUUACACCCACAUUUCCUGGUGUAUUUAUACAAUGAAUCAGGAACAUUGUAUGCAGAUUCUUCAUUUUCAAAGGGUCAUUGCUUUUACCAAGGAUAUGCUGCAGACAUUCCAAAAUCAGUUGUGGCACUACGCACCUGUUCUGGACUCAGGGGAUUACUGCAGUUAGAUAAUAUCAGUUAUGGUAUUGAACCACUGGAAUCUUCACCUACAUAUGAGCAUGUAGUUUAUCGAAUUAAAAAUGAUGCUAUUGGUCAUUCCUCCUUUCAAGAAAAUUAUCCUGUGGCUCAAUAUACAGAUCAGUCCUACAGGAUUCUUGUCAAAUCAGACACAAAUUCAGGUGCCAUGCUAUCGAAAAGAACUCUGAAAAUACAAAUCAUUAUGGAUAAAGCAAUGGCAUGCACUCAUAAAAAAUGCUGUAAUCCUGCAGAUUGUACUCUAGUUGGAGCUGCAGAAUGUGGCACUGGACCAUGCUGUAACAAUAAAACUUGUACGGCUUGUCGCUCCCAAGAAUGCAGAAAUUUUAGUGAACUAAAUAUAACAAAAUGUACUACAAAUUGUGGACAGAAUGGGGUGAUCCUGGUUAUGCUCCUCCAGAUUGUGAGCCAGCAAUGUCAUCACCAGGAGGAAGUAUCGAUGAUGGGUUUUGGCUUACAAUAG